AUAAUACUCCAUAGGUCACGAGAUCUGGAAAGACUUGUGGCUCAAAGUUCCGGCGCUUUAGGAUUGGUCUGCGGCCUAUCAGGUAGUAGUGGGUGUAACGGACCCACUAGCCGAUGACGGGUAUGGGCCUUGAGAGAGGGAGCCCAGAGAUGGAUUCUGAGACACGAAUCCAGGCCCUACGGGGCGCAGCAGUCGCGAAAACUUCACAAUGGAGGCAACUCCGAUGAGGGAAUUCCUAGUGCCAAUGCAUUUUGUGUUGGCUUUUCUUCAGCGUAGAUAACUGUUGGAAUAAGGGCUGGGUAAGACGGGUGCCAGCCGCCGCGGUAAUACCCGCAGCCCAAGUGGUGGUCGAUAUUAUUGAGUCUAAAACGUUCGUAGCCGGUUCAAUAAAUCUCUGGGUAAAUCGGAGGGCUUAACCUUCCGAAUUCCGGAGAGACUGUUGAACUUGGGACCGGGAGAGGCAAGAGGUACUUCUGGGGUAGGGGUAAAAUCCUGUAAUCCUAGAAGGACCACCGGUGGCGAAGGCGUCUUGCUAGAACGGAUCCGACGGUGAGGGACGAAGCCCUGGGUCGCAAACGGGAUUAGAUACCCCGGUAGUCCAGGGUGUAAACGCUGCAGACUUGGUGU
rnacentral:rRNA from 1 species